rnacentral:rRNA from 1 species
CAGCCGCCACGGUAAUACGAAGGGUGCAAGCGUUAAUCGGAAUUACUGGGCGUAAAGCGUGCGCAGGCGGUUUGUUAAGUCAGAUGUGAAAUCCCCGAGCUUAACUUGGGAACUGCAUUUGAAACUGGCAAGCUAGAGUCUUGUAGAGGGGGGUAGAAUUCCAGGUGUAGCGGUGAAAUGCGUAGAGAUCUGGAGGAAUACCGGUGGCGAAGGCGGCCCCCUGGACAAAGACUGACGCUCAGGUGCGAAAGCGUGGGGAGCAAACAGGAUUAGAUACCCGUGUAGUCCCUGUCUCUUAUAC